GCCAAUCGGCCCUUCGAGCCUGCACCGCCAUUCAAUAUGAUCAUGGCUGAUCAUCCAACUCAGUAUCCUGUACCUGCCUUCUCUCCAUACCCAUACCGCCUGAUCCCUUUAGCCACAAGGGUCACAUCUAACAGAAAUCUGCGAUCUGAAUGAUCAAAGUACCUGCCUGCAAGUAUGCAUCAGCAAAUCAGAUUCAGAAAAAAGACACCGUUUCUUAAUGAAAGGUUAGCAUUCUUUGGUAAAUUCAGGAAUGUUCUGCCCCAGAAAUAUAGAUUUAUUGUAAACACUGGCAGAAAGUCAAGAAAAAAAUAGGAUUGCAAUGCUACCAGAACUAGAAAGAGCUUGCAGGUAUUAAUUUUAAUAAAGGCAGAAAAUGAAUUUAAAUAACCUUUCAUGACCUCAGGUUUUACCAAAGUGCUUUACUAUGUGCACUGUGUGUACUAGUUUGAAAUAUCGACUUUAUUAUAAUGUGGAGUAACCUUUUAAAUUACACAGAGCAAAUUUCUGUGAGAUCUUCUGUUUUUUGUUGCUGUUUGUUGAAGAAUUAAUAUUGGCCACAACAUGGAAGGAAUCUCCUAUUCUUCAUAUGGGAUAUUUUAUGCCUGCGGGGGGAGAUGUAAGCUUGGUUUAACAUGUCAAAAGUUCUGCAUCUAUGUGCUGUUGAGAUUAUGUCAUCAACUCUCUGGUAUUCACCUUCAGUAGAUUUCCAGCAGAAUUUGCCCGGAUCUGACUAUGGUUAUCCAUUUCCUAUUCUUCAUUCCUCUCACUUCCAAAGGGACUGUCUCAUCAUGUUUAGUCCCAUUACCGAUGCUCUCUCUCUCUCUUGCGCUAUCUCUCUAUCUAUCUAUCUAUCUAUCUAUCUAUCUAUCUAUCUAUCUAUCUAUCUAUCUAUCUAUCUAUCUAUCUAUCUAUCUCUCUAUCUCUCUAUCUCUCUAUCGCUCUAUCUCUCUAUCGCUCUAUCUCUCUAUCUCUCUAUCGCUCUAUCUCUCUAUCUCUCUAUCGCUCUCGCUCUCGCUCUCUCUCUCUCUGAUCAUCUUUCACACUGCAGGAGUUGACGGAGCAAGUGCCAGAUUUACUGACAGUGAAAACAUUAGAGCUAAGCAUGAGAGCAAAAUACCACAGAAAUCUGAAAUGGUGCAGAAAAUGCUGUAAAUAUCCAGCAGAUCAAGCAGCCUCUGUGACAGAGAAAUAGUUAACGUGUCAGGUCGCCGAUCUUUUAUAUUUCCAGCAUUUUCUUCUUUAUUACAGCUGUGGAAUUCAGCCUCCUCCCCAAACCUAUACUGUUUUUUUUAGAUGAGUAGGUACCUAGACUAGUUUUCAGUUCCUCAUUUACCACACAAGGAUUAAUUCUGCCAUUAUUACUCACUACUGCUGCCCCCUAGUGUUAUGCUCCAUACAUUACAAGCUUUUUAAGGAUUGAUCAAGAAGCUGUCCUUGCCUAAGAUAGACACAAAAUGCUGGAGUAACUCAGCAUGGCAGGCAACAUCUCUGGAGGGAAGGAAUGCCCUACUCCCCAGAGAUGCUGCCUGUCCCGCUGAGUUACUCCAGCAUUUUGUGUUUAUCUUCGGUUUAAACCUGCAUCUGCAGUUCUUUUCUGCACAGUUAUCCUUGCCUGUUCAGAAUCUGUUAACGCUGUUGCUCAUUUUAUAAAUUACUGACUAUUUAAAGUUAAGGCUUGAAUCCAUGGUGUACCACAUGCGGGCUUUGGUCACAUCCAGCCUACACAACACUUCCACCUGGCCUUUCUGCACACUAGCAGCCCGAACAUUCCCACGGGGUGAGCUGCAGUCUCAUUAGGCAACCCGUGUACUCAGUAUGCCAGCUGUCCCAGCCACAUUUACAGACCUAAGCCAUGGAAUUGGCUUCUGCCCUGUGAGGUUUUCUGCUGUCCAUAAGGUCCUAAUGCUAAUGGUGUUAACUUUCUAAUCUCGAUGGGUUGAGAAAUGGGACUUAAUCAGAUGUAGGCUACAGUACUGUGAAACCAUGGUACGUAAUACCUGUCUCAGGGUCUCUCUAGGAUCUAAAUAGUGGUUGAUACUUGUUUCAACUGUUACUACUCAACAAUAAGAGAGAGUCUUUACUUUUAAAAUGAAUUUUGAUGAUGUUGAUGUAAUUGGUAAGAUGGAAAGAAACUCUAGAAUGUGACAAGUGGAACAGCAAGGGGUUAGUGAGGGGAACAGUGAGAACUGUAGCAUUUGUUUAAACAUAGUUUAAGUUAUCAGGAUCUUGUUGGGUAUAUUUAAAUAAAACUGGGUUCCUGUGAGUGGCCGUCAGAAAUGGCUUGGAUUGUAAAACCUGGCUGCCUCCUAAAAACAACGUUGUUUCCCACUGAUUUACAUUUAGAUUUUUCAUUAAAACAACUGUAUUGUUCAUGCUUGUUCAUCUUUUCUCUGAUUAAUGUGUUACCACAUGAAUAAGACCAGCGUUCCAAUGUAAAACCAGUACAACUGUUGGAAUGUAACCUUGUCCAGGCCAAAGAUGACAGUGUUUAACUAUGGUAUACUGCUGUCAACUCUUCACAAGAUAUGCUUCACAGUGUGUGUAAGCUGAGGUAAGAUAUAAAGAAACUGGGCAUCGAUUUGAUUGAACAAUUCUCAGCUAUGUUUUGUUCCCAAUCCUCCAAGUUUCAAGUUAUUAUCUAUCUGGAUUUCCACUGUCUGCAUCGCUUUCUUGGUUUCCGUCUGUUUUCAGAAACAUUGUAACUUCGUUUUUUUUAAAUCAAGGCACCAGCAUUAAUUGAUUUGUAAGCAGUUUUGGCAUCUCUCUUGCACUCAAAAUAUAAUGGUCCCAAUUUUAACCUUCUGAUGGUGGUAAUGAAGAUCUUGAUUGGGCAUCAGCCAAUGAUUUAAUUAUCUGUGGCAAGAUUUGACUAACAAUAAUAAUCAGAGCUCAAAACUUUUCUUGCAUUUACUGGGAAAAACCUGCAAUAAAGUUUAUGUUGGGAAAAAAAUGUUGAUGUAAGUUGGUAUGGUAAGUUAUUUAUUAUCCCUUGAUUUGAUCACACCGAGCUAUAAAUUACACGCAGCUUUUUAGCACCUUAAUAUCUCAAUUGACCAAUAUAUAUAUAUUGAUUGCUUGUCAUUGCCACAAAUUAGGUUAAAAUCCUGCCCAUUAUUUGAAGAUAUUUUCUGAGCUUUUUUUUAUAGGAGCUAGAAAGAUGCUUUGUUUCAAUCAAUUUGUGUUUUUAUAUUUGGUAAUUAGGAAAGAGCAAAUUUUAUGGAUAUUCCCUUUACUAAAAGCAUAACUUGUCAAUAUUUCUGAUGUUCAUUUGCCUAGCUGAACCUGACAAUACAUGACCCAUGUUAUUUUUAUACAGAAUGGUGAUUAAAAAUAACCAAGGUAAUGUCAGAGUGAAAAUUGCUCAAAAUAUUUUGAUAAAUUAAAAAUUGAUUCCCAUCUGGAAUUUAACAAUGAAAACAAGUGAAUUCAUACAAGUUUCUCAAAGGGAGUAUCAGAUAAAAGUUUUUUUUCUCAUCCCUUUUGUUGUGGGUUAAUUUUAUGAAAGCAUUUCAAAAAAUAUGUUCCUGAAACCUUUUGUAAAGAUAAACAUUAUGUUGAUUCUGGUUCUUAAUAAAUACAUAUUGUACAGUUUCACAGUAGACUGCUUCACUAUGUAUACUGGGUUUUUAAGAAAAAUAACGCAGUUUUGUUGCUGUUGUAAACAGUUGCAUAAUUGUAACAUUCCUCAGUUCUGUGACCAAAUGCUUCCCAUGUUGCUCACAUGAUCAGGUAUAUAAAGUCUUUUUGAGACCUA